UUGCUAGCUUCGGCAGCACAUAUACAAAAAUUGGAAUGAUACAGAGAUUAGUGUGGCCCCUGUGCAAGGAUGACACGCAAAUUUGUGAAGCGUUCCACGUUUUU
ensembl:snRNA U6 U6 spliceosomal RNA